GCAGAGGCCUAUGGGAGUAGUUGACUUGUCCAAAGACUCUGAACUAGUGACUGAUGAAGUUGGGACUCAAAUCCUACAUUCUACCUCUUAAACCAGGAAACUUCCCUCUACACCCCACUGUUUCUGAAGAUGGCUCCAAAGGGCUGGACUGAUGCAUGGCAUUCCCCCAAGUGAUGAAGCAGUGCAUGGUUUCCUUUUAAUAGGACCAUGAACUUGACUGGUGAAUAAACUGAGGCUACGAGAAUGUUGUGGUCAGUCUAUCCAAGAUGAAGAGCUAUAAGUCGUGGACUAAGGAGGACUGGGUGACGGUGUUAAGUAGGAGGUUACAUUUUGAAGAAUGAAGCUCCAGCUACAGAAAUUUUCAAGAACACAGAAAGUCCAGGU